rnacentral:rRNA from 1 species
AUUGAACGCUGGCGGCAGGCCUAACACAUGCAAGUCGAGCGGAUGAAGGGAGCUUGCUCCUGGAUUCAGCGGCGGACGGGUGAGUAAUGCCUAGGAAUCUGCCUGGUAGUGGGGGAUAACGUCCGGAAACGGGCGCUAAUACCGCAUACGUCCUGAGGGAGAAAGUGGGGGAUCUUCGGACCUCACGCUAUCAGAUGAGCCUAGGUCGGAUUAGCUAGUUGGUGGGGUAAAGGCCUACCAAGGCGACGAUCCGUAACUGGUCUGAGAGGAUGAUCAGUCACACUGGAACUGAGACUCGGCCCAGACUCCUACAGGAGGCAGCAGUGGGGAAUAUUGGACGAGGGGCGAAAGCCUGAUCCAGCCAUGCCGCGUGUGUGAAGAAGGUCUUCGGAUUGUAAAGCACUUUAAGUUGGGAGGAAGGGCAGUAAGUUAAUACCUUGCUGUUUUGACGUUACCAACAGAAUAAGCACCGGCUAACUUCGUG